UGGGGAAUCUUGCGCAAUGGCCGAAAGGCUGACGCAGCGACGCCGCGUGCGGGAUGAAGCUUUUCGGAGUGUAAACCGCUGUCGGGUGGGACGAAGGUCCCGGGGAGGAAAUGCCCUGGGGAUGACGGUACCACCAAAGGAAGCACCGGCUAACUUCGUGCCAGCAGCCGCGGUAAUACGAAGGGUGCGAGCGUUGUUCGGAAUUAUUGGGCGUAAAGCGCACGUAGGCGGCCUUGUAAGUCUCACUGUGAAAGUCCGGGGCUCAACCCCGGGAUUGCAGGGGAUACUGCGAGGCUUGAGACAAGUAGAGGUUGGUAGAAUUCCGGGUGUAGCGGUGGAAUGCGUAGAGAUCCGGAGGAAUACCAGAGGCGAAGGCGGCCAACUGGGCUUGUUCUGACGCUGAGGUGCGAAAGCGUGGGGAGCGAACAG
rnacentral:rRNA from 1 species